CUGUUGUCAGUUAGUUUCCCCUUGCUCCUGGUUCUUGGUGUGGAGUGCUCACACACAGCAUCGUAUAUGUCGCAUACUUCUUUUGAACAGUAGAACGGAUGUGCGUUCUGAGGGCUGAUGUAUGGUCACCUCAGUUGCACUGGCACCCUUACAACUCUCGUUUCAUGUGCAGGAGCUACUGGUGUACGUGAUGAGCUAGCAAUGCCUAUUGUUGUUGUUGCUCCUGUUGUUGUUUGAGCUGGGGUUUUCACAUCUUGAUCACUGUAUCGA
rnacentral:lncRNA from 1 species